rnacentral:lncRNA from 1 species
UGUCUCUUUUUUUUUGUCUUGAAGGAAUCUGUCUUUUGAUCUAUAUAUUUCUACACAGACCUGUAAAUAAUUUCAGCUAAAUCCAAAACCUUCGUGUAAUUAUUUUUUGGUGUGAAAACACCUUCGUGUUAUAAUAGUAGGAGUAUAAAAAUUUUAUACUUAACAAAAUUACUAUACUGUUUAAUCAAUAUAUAGAUGUAAAAAAGAUCGCAGUACAUUAACUAACUUGAUCCUAAUAAGAUCUCGACGGUGCCUUCAUUAGUCAAGUUCUCAAUUUCCUUUUGGAUUGAAUCGGUGUUUAAUUGAUGACUAAGCAGUCGACAAGGAAAGUAAUUUUAGUGGACGUCAAUUUGUCGCAAAAUGUAUGGCCAAUACUGAUGCUUUCUUUCUCUACCACGUAGAUAUUUUAUUUUUUAAAUGAACUCUACCACGUAGAUUAGUCUGAGAACAGUAUUCAACAUGUGAUUGUUUUUUUUUUUUUUUUUUAAUAACUGAACAACAUGUGAUUUUUAAUCCAUCUUGUUGUAAAAUCAUAACAUUUCAUAUAAAGAUAUUGAUCAAAUUCUAUGUUUUCACGUUUCCUAUACGAAAUGAUUAAAAAUAUAUUUAGAAAAGUCAAAUAUUUUAGUUUUUUAAUAAUGUUUAGAGAAAUUCUAUAGGAUAGCUAUUUUUAAGUUUUUAUUAUAAAAAUAGCCUCAAUAAAAAAAAUGACCAAAUUUUUU